rnacentral:rRNA from 1 species
UGACCAGCCAUGCCGCGUGCAGGAUGACGGCCCUAUGGGUUGUAAACUGCUUUUGUACAGGAAGAAACCCCUUUACGUGUAGAGGGCUGACAUUACUGUAAGAAUAAGGAUCGGCUAACUCCGUGCCAGCAGCCGCGGUAAUACGGAGGAUCCAAGCGUUGUCCGGAUUUAUUGGGUUUAAAGGGUGCGUAGGCGGACCAUUAAGUCAGAGGUGAAAGUUUGCAGCUUAACUGUAAAAUUGCCUUUGAAACUGGUGGUCUUGAGUACAGUUGAGGUGGGCGGAAUGUGUCAUGUAGCGGUGAAAUGCUUAGAUAUGAUACAGAACACCGAUUGCGAAGGCAGCUCACUAAACUGUAACUGACGCUGAGGCACGAAAGCGUGGGGAGCGAACAGGAUUAGAUACCCUGGUAGUCCACGCCCUAAACGUUGAAUACUCGUUGUUGGCGAUAUACAGUCAGCGACUAAGCGAAAGCAUUAAGUAUUCCACCUGGGGAGUACGACCGCAAGGUUGAAACUCAAAGGAAAUUGACGG